GGAAAGAUGAAAAGAACUUUGAAAAGAGAGUUAAACAGUUCGUGAAAUUGUUGAAAGGGAAACGAUUGAAGUCAGUCGUGCUGGCGCGAAAUCAACCCUCUCGUCGAGAGGACACAUGGCGUGGCGAGCCUCAAAACCGUCACGAAGCGUGAACUCUUGGCGAAAAGGAGCACUUUCGUGUCCGCUGGUUAACAUCAAUUUCGAACGUCAUAAAAAGGCUGGAGGGAUGUGGCUCCUUCGGGAGUGUUAUAACCUUUAGCGGAAUGUGGUGGUCGGGAUUGAGGAUUGCAACGAAUACCUUUAGGGCUGUUCCACCUGGCUUCUCUUUGGCAUCCUGGUGACGACAGCUUGCUGACGUUGUUAGGAAUCGCCUUUGAACAGGCUAGAGUGUGAGCAAAUUCGUUAAGGAUGUUAACGUAAUGGCUUUAAACGACCCGUCUUGAAACACGGACCA
rnacentral:rRNA from 1 species